rnacentral:rRNA from 1 species
GAUGAACGCUGGCGGCGUGCUUAACGCAUGCAAGUCGUACGUGAAGGGGUUUUCGGACUCCUGAAAGUGGCGAACGGGUGAGUAAUACGUAGAUGACCUGCCUUAAAGUGGGGGAUAACUACUGGAAACGGUGGCUAAUACCGCAUAGAGCUGUGACCGUUGGGAGGUUGCAGGGAAAGCUCCGGCGCUUAGAGAGGGGUCUACGUCCGAUUAGCUAGUGGGUGGGGUAAAGGCCUACCAAGGCGACGAUCGGUAGCUGGUCUGAGAGGACGAUCAGCCACACGGGAACUGAGACACGGUCCCGACUCCUACGGGGGGCAGCAGCGAGGAAUAGUGGGCAAUGGGCGAAAGCCUGACCCAGCAACGCCGCGUGAAGGAAGAAGGCCUUCGGGUUGUAAACUUCUUUUGUGGGGGAAGAGAGAGGACGGUACCCUGCGAAUAAGUCACGGCUAACUACAUGCCAGCCGCCGCAGUAA